rnacentral:rRNA from 1 species
UACGGGGGGGGCAAGCGUUGUUCGGAAUUACUGGGCUUAAAGAGUUCGUAGGCGGCGCAGAAAGUAGGGUGUGAAAGCCCUCGGCUCAACCGAGGAAUUGCGCUCUAAACUACUGUGCUUGAGGGACCUAGAGGUGAGCGGAACUGAUGGUGGAGCGGUGAAAUGCGUUGAUAUCAUCAGGAACACCGGAGGCGAAGGCGGCUCACUGGGGGUCUUCUGACGCUGAGGAACGAAAGCCAGGGGAGCGAACGGG